AUUAAUUUUUUUUGUGCAGCCAAAUUUCCCUCAACCAAAAGAUUGUGUGUGUGUGUCUGCGUGUGAAGAAGGCGCUAAAAAGCAGCCUUAAUAUAGUAACCAAACCCUGCUCAAAUCUUUAUAGUAAACCCAAUAAUUGAAAUAAACUUAAAUAUCUUAAUUUUCUCUUUAAAAUUGUUGCUGCUUUGAUGGUCCAGAAGGUAAGGGUGUUUAGAAGUGGAGGUUUCAAAUCUCUGCCAGGAAUUACAAGGAAUCUUAUUAAAUAUCUUUAUUUAAGUAACCAAAUAUC